UACAGAGACUGCAAGCGUUAUUCGGAAUCAUUGGGCGUAAAGGGCGCGUAGGCGGCCCCGUAAGUCUUGGGUGAAAGCCCUCGGCUCAACCGAGGAAUUGCCUUGGAUACUGCGGGGCUCGAGGCUGGAAGAGGGCAGUGGAAUUCCUGGUGUAGCGGUGGAAUGCGCAGAUAUCAGGAGGAACACCGAUGGCGAAGGCAGCUCGCUGGGACGGUACUGACGCUGAGGCGCGAAAGCGUGGGGAGCGAACAGG
rnacentral:rRNA from 1 species